AGUCAACAACGUAUUGUUAUGACUUUGUUCUACAGACCAUGUUGUAUUUUUGACAGGUUUGUACGGUUUGUUCAUGUUCGGGGGGGAGUAGUCCCUGCUCGACCCCACCAGAUCCUCCCUGGGAAACAAAGAUGGAGUCACGCCUGUCUUCUCGCCCACUUGCUCGCGCUGCAAAGUCAGCCAAACAUCUGUCUUCGGUCCGCACAGAAACAACACACGCACUGUCCGUUACACAAAGUCCAAUACUUUCCCAGGUCAGGAUCAACGUGUGUUGGUAAAGCGAGAUGACUGUUCAUCACCUGGGGAUGAGCGUCCCGCUGUAUUGUGGGCGCGCUGAAGUUAUUUAACCCUGUCAUCAGGGCUUUCAGUGUAUAAUGUUUACGGAACUUCCAUGCUGUUGUUGGCCAGAGCCCACAAACAGACACAAUGGUGGAUGUGUUUCCUCAUAAAUUGUUUUUCCUCAUGGUUCGCGGACCAAGCAAUAUUGGAAUGACUUGUUAUUGUGUACUUUGUCAUGUUUUGCACUUGUUUAUCAUUUUUCUUGUGAUUGGUGCUGCUUCCUGUCCAGCGCUCUUUUUUUGUUUUGUUCCCCUUCCUGUUUUGGUUUGUUUUUCUACUGACUUUAGCCCUGCUCCUGAGCACUGUUCUCCUCACCUGUCCCUAAUUGCCAAUCAGGAGGAUUCUCUAGCCAUCCUGACCUUACUGAUGGGGCUGGUUCGCUAGCCGCCAUGCCGCACCGUUCUGUCCUAUAUUGGAGUGGACGCUGCAGAGCCCACCCGGAACAAACAUUAUGUUGAAGGCCAGCAGAGAAUGAGUCACCACUCCGCUCAUGUUACUCCGUUUUGAAUGGAAUGGACAUUUGAUCACAAACUGUCUUCAACACGAUGGAGGACGGGACUUGAUGAGGUGGUGAAAAGGUAAGAGACACAACAUAUGUGACAAUCUUUUUUUUGUUGUUUUUUUAGUUGGAAUACAUUUUAUUUUUAUUAUAAGUACAGUUCAGUAGUUACA